AUGGCCACCACCGUCCAGCCCCACUCCCCGGACCCAACAGCCAUCACCACCACCCCUGCCCCACCCCCUCCCCCUUCUCCACCUCGCCAGGAGAACCCGACCGCCGCGGGGGAAGGCGUAGAGAUCGCGGCGCUCGAUGAGCAGCCUGCCGCCGUCGCCGUCGCCGACAAGGGGAAGACGGCCCCCGGCGGCGGGAAGCUGGUGGCGGAGGCCAUGCGCAAGUGCGCGGCGCCCCGGUCGUCGCGCUACCACGGCGUGACGAGGCUCAAGUGGAGCGGCAAGUACGAGGCACACCUCUGGGACAACACCAGCCAGGUUGAGGGGCGCAAGCGCAAGGGCAAGCAUGUGUACUUGGGAAGCUAUGUUACUGAAGAGAAUGCUGCAAGGGCACAUGACCUUGCAGCCCUGAAAUAUUGGGGCAUAACUCAACCCACCAAACUAAACUUCAAUAUUUCUGAUUAUGCAAAAGAAAUUGAGAUCAUGAAGAGCAUGAAUCAAGAUGAAUUUGUGGCCUACAUAAGGAGGCAGAGUAGUUGUUUCUCAAGAGGAACAUCGUCAUACAGGGGUGUAACAAGACGAAAGGAUGGUAAAUGGCAAGCACGUAUUGGUAGGAUUGGUGAGAGUAGAGACACUAAAGACAUCUAUCUUGGGACCUUUGAAACUGAAGUGGAGGCAGCUGAAGCGUAUGACCUAGCAGCAAUUCAGCUCCGUGGUGUUCAUGCUGUGACCAACUUUGAUAUCAGCAACUACUCCGAAGAAGGUUUGAAGAAACUAGAAGGCUCAUCCGAGGUAGUGAACCUGGAGGACCAAUCAGAAGUCACUAAGUUAGCUGUGACCAACUUGGAUAUUAGCCAACACUGCGAAGAUGGUUUGAAGAAACUAGAUGGCGCAUCCCAGAUAGUGAACCUGGAGGACCAAUCAGAAGUCACCAAGUUAUCUGUGACCAACUUUGAUAUUAGCAACUGCUGUGAAGAUGGUUUGAAGAAACUAGAUGGCGCAUCCCAGAUAGUGAACCUGGAGGACCAAUCAGAAGUCACCAAGUUAUCUGUGACUAACUUUGAUAUUAGCAACUGCUGUGAAGAUGGUUUGAAGAAACUAGAAGGCUCAUCCGAGGUAGCGAACCUGGAGGACCAAUCAGAAGUCACAAAGUUAGCUGGACAAUAG
rnacentral:rRNA from 1 species